rnacentral:rRNA from 1 species
UUGGCCUUGACAUAUUAAGAACUUUCCAGAGAUGGAUUGGUGCCUUCGGGAACUUAGAUACAGGUGCUGCAUGGCUGUCGUCAGCUCGUGUCGUGAGAUGUUGGGUUAAGUCCGCAACGAGCGCAACCCUUUUCCUUAUUUGCCAGCGGGUAAUGCCGGGAACUUUAAGGAUACUGCCAGUGACAAACUGGAGGAAGGCGGGGACGACGUCAAGUCAUCAUGGCCCUUACGGCCAGGGCUACACACGUGCUACAAUGGUCGGUACAAAGGGUUGCUACCUCGCGAGAGGAUGCUAAUCUCAAAAAGCCGAUCGUAGUCCGGAUCGCAGUCUGCAACUCGACUGCGUGAAGUCGGAAUCGCUAGUAAUCGCGGAUCAGAAUGCCGCGGUGAAUACGUUCCCGGGCCUUGUACACACCGCCCGUCACACCAUGGGAGUUUGUUGCACCAGAAGUAGGUAGUCUAACCGCAAGGAGGACGCUUACCACGGUGUGGCCGAUGACUGGGGUGAAGUCGUAACAAGGUAGGCGUAGAUGA